CAAGGCCUUUACUGACGCUAAAGCUCGAAGGUGCGGGUAUCGAACAGGAUUAGAUACCCUGGUAGUCCGCACGGUAAACGAUGGAUGCCCGCUGUUUGCGAUAUACUGUGAGCGGCCAAGAGAAAUCGUUAAGCAUCCCACCUGGGGAGUACGCCGGCAACGGUGAAACUCAAAGGAAUUGACGGGGGCCCGCACAAGCGGAGGAACAUGUGGUUUAAUUCGAUGAUACGCGAGGAACCUUACCCGGGCUUGAACUGCAGCGGAAGGAUACAGAGAUGUUGACGUCCUUCGGGACCGCUGUGGAGGUGCUGCAUGGUUGUCGUCAGCUCGUGCCGUGAGGUGUCGGCUUAAGUGCCAUAACGAGCGCAACCCCUUUCAUUAGUUGCCAUCACUUCGGGUGGGCACUCUGGUGAUACUGCCACCGUAAGGUGUGAGGAAGGUGGGGAUGACGUCAAAUCAGCACGGCCCUUACGUCCGGGGCUACACACGUGUUACAAUGGGUGAUACAGAUGGCCGGUGCAUGGCAAUGUGCAUCAAAUCUUGAAAGUCAUCCUCAGUUCGGAUUGGGGUCUGCAACCCGACCCCAUGAAGCUGGAUUCGC
rnacentral:rRNA from 1 species